ACAUGGGUGCCAGAUGAGAUGGGUUGGUUUUAAGCAUCAAGCAUGGGAGUCUCUCCCCCUG
rnacentral:tRNA from 1 species